CCGGAGCCCUAACCUGCGGGGACGGACGCGCACGGCUCCGGAGCGGUAGCUGGAAGGCGUCUCCUGUCAGGAGCGGCUUGAGGGAGCUGCGGGUGUUCGGCCCGCGGCAGAGCAGGCUCAGGAGAGACCUCACUGCUCUCUGCAAACGCCUGAAUGGAGGCUGUACCAGCUGGGGUCGGUCUCUUCUCCCAGGUAACCAGCGACAGGACAGGAGGACAUGGCCUCAAGUCAAGCUUAUUUUCAAAACAUAUUUUAAAGAAAUUAAGGAGGACUUAAAGAGGUGAUGGCUAUAAAAAGACAAUACUUGUGGAGCCUCUAACCUGUCAGUUUGUGGAAAGUAGUCAUCAAGUCACAAAAAUAUGGAAAUAGCUAUGGCUUGGAGCAUGAAAAUCAACAUAUGUAGUCAUCAUGUAUUUUUUUGGAAGAUAGGCUAAACAACCUCUGUCAUUUUUGCCGUGCAAUGGAACCCACUUUCUCUUUUAGGGAUCACCCUGCCACUUUCCAUUAGCAUUAGCAGCACUCUGAAUUGCAAAAUCUUCAGAUGAACGUGCCGAGUCCUGUCAUUUCCCCCACAGGCUGUCUGGCGAUGAUAAUCCACUAAAGGAUUAUUUCAUCCAAGUGGCGGUGUCCGAGUCAAAUGCCGGCAACAGGCAGGAAAGCCCAAACCUGUUGAGGCAGAAAUCUGCCUGGAUGGGAGGAAUCGGAGCGACGGCCCUUAAGAGGGCGAGGCGGGGGACAUACUUUGUGCCAGCAGAAUAAGUCCAUGGGCUGCACCCGUGAUGGGAGAGCAAGACCAUCAUGGUGAUGGCUGGAAGUUUGCGGGCUGCGAUGCCGAUGCUGGCCAAAGCAGGCCCCAGGCUGCGCUCUUUGGAGGAGUGCCUUGUCACAUUAGCCGGGUGGCUACUGUGUUUGAUGCUCAACCUGGACAGACAGGCCUGCCAGGCAGAAACUGCUCAGGCAGAUGAUGCUGGGGAGGACAAAAAUUAUCCAGCGCAAGACUGAGAAGACAGAUGACACCCAGCAGGAACAGCAAGCCAAAUCUGCAGAAUCCACAAUGCAGCUGGCUAGCCCGGGGCUACCUGCCUCUUUGAAAAGGAACAGACAUCACCUACAGCUGUCAAAUUAGAUCACCAGCCUGAAAAUGCUCAAAGAGAUUUAGUUCUUCCAACAGAGAAGGGAAAGUUUAAUGGAUGAAAAUCUUUCUAAAGGGGCCAAGGUAGUGUGGGAGGGGAAAGGAGAAUCCUUCAGAUGCAGCAACAAUGACAAAUUAAUCACCUCCCACCUGCCUGCAGAGUGAUAGAUGGGAUGCGCUGUAGUCACUACCAGCACGGAAAAUAAAGGCCACGCCUGCAGGAACAUGCACAGAGCAGCAACAAGUAAUGCUUGUUACAAAAUUGAUCCCCCCUUCCAAAUCUGUGAUAUCUUUAUGUUGCCCUGGAGCUGGUAUGACACAUCUCACAUUCGUGACAUGCAGUGGUGGGAUACAAAGGCCCAGUCUGAAUCUGAAAACUCAGCAAAGCAAGAGGUGCAUGAUGGCAUUUCCCCUUUAAUUUCUUUUGCAAUAAAAUUCCAAAACAAAGAAAA